CAGCAGCCGCGGUAAUACGUAGGUGGCAAGCGUUGUCCGGAAUUAUUGGGCGUAAAGGGCUCGCAGGCGGGUUUCUUAAGUCUGAUGUGAAAGCCCCCGGCUCAACCUGGGGAGGGUCAUUGGAAACUGGGGAACUUGAGUGCAGAAGAGGAGAGUGGAAUUCCACGUGUAGCGGUGAAAUGCGUAGAGAUGUGGAGGAACACCAGUGGCGAAGGCGACUCUCUGGUCUGUAACUGACGCUGAGGAGCGAAAGCGUGGGGAGCGAACAGGAUUAGAUACCCUGGUAGUCCACGCCGUAAACGAUGAGUGCUAAGUGUUAGGGGGUCUCCGCCCCUUAGUGCUGUAGCUAACGCAUUAAGUACNCCGCUGUGGGAGUACGGUCGCAAGACUGAAACUCAAA
rnacentral:rRNA from 1 species